UGCAGAAAGGACCCUUUUCUGGGUGAGAA
rnacentral:piRNA from 1 species